AGAGUUUGAUCCUGGCUCAGAGCGAACGCUGGCGGCAGGCUUAACACAUGCAAGUCGAGCGGGCGUAGCAAUACGUCAGCGGCAGACGGGUGAGUAACGCGUGGGAACAUACCUUUUGGUUCGGAACAACACAGGGAAACUUGUGCUAAUACCGGAUAAGCCCUUACGGGGAAAGAUUUAUCGCCGAAAGAUUGGCCCGCGUCUGAUUAGCUAGUUGGUGAGGUAACGGCUCACCAAGGCGACGAUCAGUAGCUGGUCUGAGAGGAUGAUCAGCCACAUUGGGACUGAGACACGGCCCAAACUCCUACGGGAGGCAGCAGUGGGGAAUAUUGGACAAUGGGCGCAAGCCUGAUCCAGCCAUGCCGCGUGAGUGAUGAAGGCCCUAGGGUUGUAAAGCUCUUUUGU
rnacentral:rRNA from 1 species